UUCUGAUCUCACUGCUGAGCUGCACAACAAACCAAGCUCGUCUGACUGUGAGUCCCAGCAGCUCUCAGUUUUUUAAAGGAGACUUUGUGUCUCUGAGCUGUGAGGAGGACGACAGCUCUGCUGGAUGGACUGUGAAAAGAAGCACAACAACAACUAUGAUCACUCUUUGUGGAACGGAAUGGGGAGAAGCAGCUGGUUCUUCCUGUAACAUCAGCUCCAUUUCAACAUCUGACAGUGGACUUUACUGGUGUGAAUCCAAAAAUAGAGCAAGUAACAAGAUGAUCUCUAUCACAGUCACUGGUGGAUCAGUGAUCCUGCAGAGUCCUGUCCUCCCUGUGAUGGAGGGAGAUGACGUCACUCUG